rnacentral:rRNA from 1 species
GACGAACGCUGGCGGCGUGCCUAAUACAUGCAAGUCGAGCGAAUGGAUUAAGAGCUUGCUCUUAUGAAGUUAGCGGCGGACGGGUGAGUAACACGUGGGUAACCUGCCCAUAAGACUGGGAUAACUCCGGGAAACCGGGGCUAAUACCGGAUAACAUUUUGAACCGCAUGGUCCGAAAUUGAAAGGCGGCUUCGGCUGUCACUUAUGGAUGGACCCGCGUCGCAUUAGCUAGUUGGUGAGGUAACGGCUCACCAAGGCAACGAUGCGUAGCCGACGUGAGAGGGCGCUCGGCCACACUGGGAGCGGGACACGGCCCAGACUCCUACGGGGGGCAGCAGUAGGGAAUCUGCCUCAAUGGACGAAAGUCUGACGUAGCAACGCCGCGUGAGUGAUGAAGGCUUUCGGGUCGUAAAACUCUGUUGUUAGGGAAGAACAAGUGCUAGUUGAAUAAGCUGGCACCUUGACGGUACCUAACCAGAAAGCCACGGCUAACUACGUGCCAGCAGCCGCCGUAA